ensembl:lncRNA
UCGGCGAGCAGCCUCAAUAGGUAUUCACAGCGUCACGCACACCCUGCCCUACCCAGCGCCGUCCCAUUCUUCACGUUCUGCGGUGGAAGAUCGAGAAGAUCAUGAACUUGAUCGGCGCCGGGAUCGACACGUCCAGCAGCGAGCAGAACCGGGCCGCUGAAGCAGGUAAUCGCCAUCCCAGAACCCCCUCUGUCUGAUGUCGUAAGGAACGCGGACUCUGAGAGUCCAUGGGCACACAGGUGCCAUGUGGCUCAGAAGGGUUGGCGGGUAACCUGAGGGUUGCAAGUUUGAUCCCCAGAGUGUUGAGGUGUCCCUGAGCAAGGCGCCUCACCCUGAAAGCUCCCGACGAGCUGGCUGUCGCCUUGCAUGGCUGACUCACCACCGUCGAUGGGUGAAUGGGUGCAUG